rnacentral:rRNA from 1 species
CUAGCGACUUCAGAGUUUGAUCCUGGCGUCAGGAUGAACGCUGGCGGCGUGCCUAACACAUAGCAAGUCGAACGAAGCACUCUUGUUGAUCCUUCGGGUGAUACUUUAGUGACUGAGUGGCGGACGGGUGAGUAACGCGUGGGUAACCUGCCCUGUACAGGGGGAUAACAGUCAGAAAUGACUGCUAAUACCGCAUAAGCGCACGAGAGGACAUCCUCUAGUGUGAAAAAACUCCGGUGGUACAGGAUGGGCCCGCGUCUGAUUAGCUAGUUGGCGGGGUAAUAGCCCACCAAGGCGACGAUCAGUAGCCGGUCUGAGAGGAUGAACGGCCACAUUGGAACUGAGACACGGUCCAA